AACGAACGCUGGCGGCAGGCCUAACACAUGCAAGUCGAACGCCCGUAGCAAUACGGGAGUGGCAGACGGGUGAGUAACGCGUGGGAACGUGCCCUUCGGUUCGGAAUAACUCAGGGAAACUUGAGCUAAUACCGGAUACGUCCGUAAGGAGAAAGAUUUAUCGCCGAAGGAUCGGCCCGCGUCGGAUUAGCUAGUUGGUGAGGUAACGGCCCACCAAGGCGACGAUCCGUAGCUGGUCUGAGAGGANGAUCAGCCACACUGGGACUGAGACACGGCCCAGACUCCUACGGGAGGCAGCAGUGGGGAAUAUUGGACAAUGGGCGAAAGCCUGAUCCAGCCAUGCCGCGUGAGUGAAGAAGGCCUUAGGGUUGUAAAGCUCUUUCAGCGGGAAGAUAAUGACGGUACCCGCAGAAGAAGCCCCGGCUAACUUCGUGCCAGCCGCCG
rnacentral:rRNA from 1 species